rnacentral:sRNA from 1 species
GUUCCGUGGCGGGAACUGAGGCGACUGUGGGGACAUCAGUGAUCGUAAGUCUCCUGGGCCCGUUAUUCUCAGAUUAGGUGACGGAGCUAAGACUUCGAGACCAUCUCGUCCUUUUUGUAUCGAGGAAACCUGAGGAACGAGCCGGCGGCGGUGACCUGCACGAGAAGCCAGGCUAACUGGGUGAAGUACCAUGCAAGCAUUUCUUAAAGGUACAUCCAUCAGUACUAAACCCCCGCUGACCAAGGAUCGAGGAGUAGCUGCCACUGCGGGAAGUAGCGGAGAGAACAAGAAAGCCAAACCCGUUCCCUGGGUGGAAAAAUAUCGCCCAAAAUGUGUGGAUGAAGUUGCUUUCCAGGAAGAAGUGGUUGCAGUGCUGAAAAAAUCUUUAGAAGGAGCAGAUCUUCCUAAUCUCUUGUUUUACGGACCACCUGGAACUGGAAAAACAUCCACUAUUUUGGCAGCAGCUAGAGAACUCUUUGGGCCUGAACUUUUCCGAUUAAGAGUUCUUGAGUUAAAUGCAUCUGAUGAACGUGGAAUACAAGUAGUUCGAGAGAAAGUGAAAAAUUUUGCUCAAUUAACUGUGUCAGGAAGUCGUUCAGAUGGGAAGCCGUGUCCGCCUUUUAAGAUUGUGAUUCUGGAUGAAGCAGAUUCUAUGACCUCAGCUGCUCAGGCAGCUUUAAGACGUACCAUGGAGAAGGAGUCGAAAACCACCCGAUUCUGUCUUAUCUGUAACUAUGUCAGUCGAAUAAUUGAACCCCUGACCUCUAGAUGUUCAAAAUUCCGCUUCAAGCCUCUGUCAGAUAAAAUUCAACAGCAGCGAUUACUAGACAUUGCCAAGAAGGAAAAUGUCAAAAUUAGUGAUGAGGGAAUAGCUUAUCUUGUUAAAGUGUCAGAAGGAGACUUAAGAAAAGCCAUUACAUUUCUUCAAAGCGCUACUCGAUUAACAGGUGGAAAGGAGAUCACAGAGAAAGUGAUUACAGACAUUGCUGGGGUAAGAGUACUGGAUAUUCUGAAUUUCUUUUUAGUUGGCUUUUUUGUGGCUUUUAGGAAAUUUUCAUCCAACAAAUACUGAGUGUUUAGCAAGUGCCAAGUACUGCACUAGGAAGUAUAAGGGAAUAACCUGGGAGUAUCAGAGUGUUUGAGGUGAGGAGAUAGCACUGACUUUUCAGUUUGUCAGGCAUGUAACAGACAUUUCAGGAAAGAAAAGGACACUUUCAGUUGUUAGUUUUUUUGUUUUUUUUUUUUUGAGACAGAGUCUUGCUGUGUCGCCCAGGCUGGAGUGCAGUGACGCAAUACCGACUCACUGCAACCUCCACCUCCCGCCUCACCCUCCCAAUUAGCUGGGAUUACAGGCACCUGCCACCAUGCCCAGCUAAUUUGUAUAUUUUUAGUA